rnacentral:lncRNA from 1 species
CAGCAAUCAAUUAAGUCCACCCUAGCUCAAUUAUUCCGAUCAUCGAUGCAAAAAUAACUUUAAAUUAUGCAAACAAACCAGUUAUAAUCACCGAAGACGCUUCUGACGUGAUCUUAUUUCUCCUUAAUUAUUCGGUAACCAGGAAGACGCUUCACUAAUUACUACCCUAAUCGACUGACAACCGUAAGAGACGCUCUAUAGAUUUAAUGAGCCGAUAGCAUUAAUAUCUAGAGAAACCCGAUUCAAAACCAAUAAACUC